rnacentral:lncRNA from 1 species
CCCAUGCAAUGUUGGGGUCAGAGAGUGUAGAGAGUGGUGUGGGGAGAGUGCAGGCUGAAGAGUUACCUAAGGUCAAAAUCCUGACCUAUGAGCCAAGCCAUCGAUUUGGGAUUUCUACUGAGGACACUGGAAGUCACUAAGAGCAUCUGAAUGGAAAUCGAGGUUAAGAGAGGGUAGGCGAUUUGCCUGAGAUCACACAGCCUCGUGUGUGGCAGAGCCUUAGAUUCCAAGCCAGGCUGUCCGAUGCCAGACCUUCACAGCUAUCCUAUGCUUCCACGGCACCCCGGACUUCCCCUUGGAGCACUUGCCAGUGAAACAAACAUGCCCUGGAGAAAUGCCUGGGUUAUGUGAAGUUGGCAGUUCCCAAGGGCUUUAGGCUUGAAGCUGUGGGUCAUACCCCUUCGGAAACUUGGUCCCCAAGAGAAAUGUAUGCUUCUGAAAACCACAGGUGCAUGAAUCGUGUUUAGUAAAUGACUACUAAACUGAAAUCAGGACUUGUCUAUAUCUUGGCUUCUCAAACUUGAAUAUGCUUAUCAUCUGGAUAGCAAAAGCAUUCCUACACGUUGAGGCCUGCCAGCGUGGGUGUCACCCAGGAGCCACUCGGAAAGGCUCAUCGGAAACCACCCCGGACUGACUGAGGCAGAAUCUCUGGGGGCAGGACCCAGGCCUCAGCAUAAAAACUCCAGGUGACGGAAGAGCUCCCACCUAACAGGUGUGUUGGCAUUGUUGUAGGUGACUGACGUAGUUUCCCAUCUCACAACUCUACCUCCAUGAAGAAAAGUCAUGGAAAAUUGAGACUUUGGGCUGAGUGUGGCUCAUCCCUGUAAUCUUAGUGCUUUGGGAGGCUGAGGUAGGAGGAUCGCUUGAGGCCAGGAAUUUGAGGCCAGCCUGAGCAACAUAGUGUCUCUUCAAAAAACUAAGUUUAUUCUUUCCUCUUUUUUAGUUUUUAUUUUACACGGCUCACUGUGGCUUUGACCUCCCAUGCUGAAGCGAUCCUCCUAUCUCAACCUCUCAAGUAGCUGGAAGCACAGGCAUGCACCACCACACCUGGCUAAUUUUUUUCUUCCUUUUUUAAAGAGACAGUCUUGCCAUGUUGCCCAGGCCCUGUUGACCAGGAAAAAAAAAAGUUUUUUUUCUUUUUUAAAGAAAGAAAAUAAAAGAGACUGAGAAACCACAGAAAUAAAGAAGCGCUGAUGACAAUGCCUGCUUGCUGAUGGUUACGAUGAUCAUAGCAGUGUGCAUUUUGUAUGCAUGAAGCCUGCGACUAAAUAAACGUGUGGGGAAAUAUUUGUAAGGAAAUAAGCUAUUAAUAAAAUAAGCUAAAAUCACAGUUGCUGGACUAUGACUGAUUUUUCCCCUUUCUCUCAUUUAAAAUUAAAUAUUUGUAUGACUUGUAUAAUAGAAAAAUACAUGUAUUCAAUCUUAAAAAGAUAUUCUUAUUUUACACUUUACGGGACAAAAGAGGUUGUAGGUUGGAAUGGUUCAGUCCCCUUGUGACAACUCAAAAACAGAGACCUUAAGCCUUUCUCAACCAAUGUUGCGGGACAAGCAGGCGUGUGAGGCGACAAUGCCAUUAGGGUAUUUUUUGGAAAAAUUUUAGUGUGAGAGACAAAAGCCAAAUUCAAACUGGCCUGAGCCAAAAUAGGUAGGAAAGGGAGAAGCGGAGACAGGGAGGAAGAAAGAGAGAGAACAGAAAGAAAAAGGGAGAAAUGUCGAAAGGCAAAAUUACAACACAUUUAGUUAAAUGAUUGAAUUGGUUUUUAUUUGUAAUUCAUGAAUUGGGGCAGCAUCUCCUCUAAAACUUUAGGAAAAGUGCUCUGAUGAGCUAAACAGAGAAGCUUGGCUUUAUAGGCAGAAAAGGGUGAAGAAAGCAGACACAGGGAACAAAAAGCAGAUUGGUAAGCUCAGGUUACUUCAGGUUACUUUCCUUAUAAAGGUUAAAGUAGAGGGGACUUCCUUAUCAUGCUGGCUACAACUGGCCUGUUUGGGGAUUUGCAUAUUAUCUCUCUCUGUCUUGAGUUCUGGGAAGGUCUGAUGACUUAGUUUCAGUUUGGUGAUAUGGAACUUAGCAUGAGUGACUCCAUCUUGGUUUGGUCUACUGGGGCCUCCUGCAGGAGCUCAGCCCAAAUCAGUGACCUCCUAUAAAUUUCAUUUAAUAGAAAAGGAAGGAAGGAAGGAAGGAAGGAAGGAAGGAAGGAAGGAAGGAAGGAAGGGAGGGAGGGAGGGAGGGAGGGAGGGAGGAAGGGAGGAAAGAAGGAAGGAAAGAAAGAAAGUUGCUUAUAAGUUGCUUAUAACUAAAAAGACCAGCUGGACCCAGGAGCUCUGAGGUUGCUUUCAGGCCUCUGUCCAUCUCUUAGUUUUCCAUCCUCAGACAGGCUCUGCCCUGCCUUACAGUCUAGCAUUGUUGGCCAAAGGUGACUGACUGGCCCAGCUUGGGCUAUAUGUCCUUCCCUGUGGCCAGAGAGAUGUGUCUCUGUGAUGGCCAGGCUUGGGUCACGUACUCCCUCCCCUACCAGAAUCACAUGAAAAGAGGGAGGAAGAGCCGCUUUCCACCAAAGGAAACUGAAGUGCUAUUGUCAGAGGGGUUGCUGGGCAGACCAAAAAGAUGACAAUAUCUGCUCCAAUCGCUCGGGUUGUUGGUGCUUGGCAGAUUUGCCCCUACGUCACUUUUCAGAUGUGGAUAAGACUGAAGGUGACCACAGGCUUCCGAGAGGAAAGCUGCCAAUGGGGGUGUGAGAGGAGGGGGAAUUCUUACUCACCAAGGUUAACACUGUGCACACUGUUCUCCGAGGAAGUGGGAAUUUCCACAUGGUGAGUUCCCUUCCCUGUACAAUGAAUUACUAUCUUGAUGAGAAACCCGUGGGCAGCUGGUUGAGAAGAGAAAGGUAUUCUCUGAAUGAGAGGGAAUUUACCACCUUCCUUUCAAUGGUGACAGUUUUUUCUGGUGUCACCGCAGGGUGUGGAUUGAUUCAUAUACAAAUAUACAUAUCUACAUAGAUGCCAUUCUGCUAGCCUCUGCAAAAUGCAUGCCUGGAGACCAUUUCUGCUGCCUAGGAGAUGUCAACUUUGUCACCACCACUCUCUCUCCACCACUCCCACACCCUGCAGGGGCCAGGUGUGUGGGUGGGGAGCUCCCCAGCUGGAGGCCAGAUUAGAGGUCUCUGUGUGGUGGGGAUGGGGAGGAUGGGGUGGGAAUGAGGUGGUAGGCCACUGGCAGUGGUCCAAGUUCCAUCCAGGAUCUGUCCUAGGCCUCUCCCCAGGCUGUCGCUUCCACCAUUGAAUUUCUAACCUGGAUCUCUAAGGUUAUGAAUAUCUCAUUCCCGCAUCCUGGGGUGCUCAGACAUGUCUCCCCUGAGUCUCUAGCUGGGCUCGUGGCUGUGAUCAUUGUCCUCAGAGUUCCAUCCUCCCAACAAAGGGACAGAAGAAACACAGGGCCCACUUUUCUGGAUUCUGAGUUGGAGCCAAGAAAUUCUAUCUGCUGCUUCCUUCCUGUUGAAUUAUCCCCCAAGGACCCCUUAGUCCCUCCAGUCUCCUCCAGAGGCCUAUAGCUGCCCCAGCUCCCCAUGAUGGAUACCUGGCUCUUUCCUACCCAGAGGAAAACGCAGGCCCUUCCCCAGCCCUGCACUGAACUCCUGUGAGUGGCUGAGGAGAUGAGGAGGUGUGAAGAGUGAGUGUGUUGGGGAGGGAGGGGUCCCCUGCCACCAGGUACCAAGGACUUCUGCCAGAUCACCAGAACUGACACCUGGUUCCACCGGCCAGCUGUGAAGUGUCGGCCCUGACAUCAACAGCUGACCUCCCACAGGGCCUAAGGAAACGGAAUUGUGG